GAGAAUAUAUACCCAUCCUCACAGCAAAUAUGAGGAAUCUCCUGAUGUGAGCUGUGUUGAGAGGUUGUCUCUGUCUCAAUAAAAGUUCACUGAUUCCCCCAUCUGCUGCAGGUGUCCGGUUGUCUUCAUUCUCCGCCAGCCUGGAUCCGCUCCAGGUCAACUGGAACGGAUGGGAGGACAUCGGCCGUGGUCUGAGUGAACGGAGUUUGGACAAAAGCUGUGUGCACACAAAAACAAGUGUCUUCAUACAGGUGUUUUUUCUUAACCUGGAAGCCUGAGUACGGCAGCAGAAGACAGGCCAAGCUUUGGCUAAAAUUCACGGCUGGACACCAGAGUUGUCCUCACCCCUCCCGGUAAAACAAAAAAGAGAGAAUGUAGUUUGAGGCGGGUUUUUCUCGCUGACCUGCUCUGGGUGCUGUGUCCCUGAAUCUCACCAGUGUUAACCUCUGGCGGAAGACAUGGAGAAAAGGAAAAGAUGUUCCUGGUAAAUCACUGAAACAAAUAAAACCACACACAACCAGAGAAAGAUAUGAGAAGGGUGAGGAACAGACACAUGUGCGUGUUAGAGAAAUGCCUCGUUUGAGAAAAAGUUAAAGUAACCCAUAUACAGACGCACCCAUACAUGCAAUGAAGAAACAGCUUACAUACAUGUGCACGUACAUGCAAGGUUAAAGUAGCGACACUUAACAUACACCUGUUUUUAAAUGAUAUAGUUCAUACAUUACUGACAAUUAAACGCUUUGGGUUGCAGGACAACAACGUAACGUCAAAAGACAAAGACACUGGUCUGAGGAUUAAGUGAGGACACGACAAAUUUAGUGGUUAAAAGGGUCGACUUGGGACAUGUUUUUGUUGAUUGUUUAAGACAAAUGACUACUGAAUGAUAGGAAAUUCCUUUUUAGGUUUCUAAACAGGAUCUUAAGAAUUUUAACACGUACCUGUGUUGUCCUGUCAACUUGAGGGGUUAUGAGUUGAUUAUAUGGAGAAAAAAAAAAAAAAAAAAAAAAAAAACAAAAACAAAAAAGGGGGGAGACGAGAUCUCGUUGUUUCUCCCCUCUCGGGAUAACACAGCCAACACAGCACAGCCAACACAACAUCAUUUUCCUGUUCGCCUGUUUUGUUUUGUUUUUGUUUUUUCUGAGAGCCGAAGCUGACCUGGACUCCUACCCUCCCCUCUACCAUCGUUGCCCUCUCCGCGACCAUCUUUGACCCUUUGACCCCUGAAGGCCACAGCAGCUGGACUCACAACAACAACUUGAGGAUGUCAACAGUGCUGCAAAAGAGUGAUCUCAUGCAGCAGAGACGGAGAGCACUAAACCUAAAGCCCGUUUCACUACACGGGGGAAAUUCCCAGGCUGCGUCAGCUGACAGAGCUGUGACGAGACGCGCAUUAAGCCCGGAGGAAAAGGGACGGUGAGCAGAAGGAUGCUGACCUCUGAGAAGAGCCGAACAGCAGAGCUGCAGAAGGCCGUGGAGCAAAGUAAGGAAGAUGCAGGCAGCUGCAACAACGGAUGAAAACAGACCCAAAGAGGAGGGGAGGACCCUAGGCCAUGCGUCAGGCCGCUGGUUUACCUAAACUACAGAACAGGAAGGACAGCUGUUACUGCUUUCAUCGGGAACCGAGACUGCUUGCAGCCGACCCCUGGGCAGGGUGGUGCCUGGACUCUUUUCUCCUCAUCUGCAAUGACAGAUAAAGACAAAUGAUAAGACCCGAGGAGUUUUUCGAGCCAGGCUUCGACACGUCUCUGUGUUCCUUUGAAUGUUACUUAUUUUUGUGUGUUGACCCAUUUAAGAUGGGUCAAAAGGGGGAUUUGAAGAAAAUAUAAUCUGAUCAAACAUUAUUCAGCUUUAAAUAUUGUUCAGCUUUAAAGUUACUGUGCAACUGUGUAAUAAAAAUAUGCGCUCACGACUUUGGCCUUGAGAGCGAUAAGAAGCGAUCGCCUCAUUCUGCAGGUGCAAGAUAUCUGCAAGCGAAGAGACUAGAACACCCAAGGCCGCUUUCCUUUUAUGGAGUUGUUUUUCUGCUAAUGCAGCACUGUCCUCACAACCCCCUCCUGUGUCCGGUUGUCUUCAUUCUCCGCCAGCCUGGUUAAGUCAAUUCCUCCUUAACAUCUAAAAGAACCUAUUUAAUGAAGGAAGACGGGUUCACUUUGUGUUUAAUAUUAUUCUAUUGCUGUUGUUUUUUUUAUAUCCUUCAAUACGUACGAUGGUCUUUCGUUCUACACGGUGCAUUUCAAGGUCCUGCACCCAUCCGUCGGUAAACUGUACCUGGGCUUGUUGCAGUGACCGGAAGUUACUAAACUUCAUGAGUGUAUGCACUCACUCCAAGAACCGUAUGAUUAUAAAUAUGCAUAUAAAUAUGCUACGAUGAGAUAGCUGACUUCAUCUAACUAGCAAAUGUUGUCCAGGCUACGUUGGUGAUACAGUUUUUUUUAAUGUGUAUAUUUUUAAUAACAUGCAGCUUAUCUCAGAACUGUCGGUGAAAAUUAUUCUUGGAGCUA
ensembl:lncRNA